rnacentral:rRNA from 1 species
CCUACGGGAGGCAGCAGUGAGGAAUAUUGGUCAAUGGUCGGGAGACUGAACCAGCCAAGCCGCGUGAGGGAGGAAGGUACAGAGUAUCGUAAACCUCUUUUUUAAGGGCACAAAGGCGGGGACGUGUCCCCGGAUGAGUGUACCUUAACAAAAAGCAUCGGCUCACUCCGUUCCAGCAGCCGCGGUAAUACGGAGGAUUCAAGCGUUAUCCGGAUUUAUUGGGUGUAAAGGGGGCGUAGGCGGUCGGAUAAGUUAGAGGUGAAAUCCCGAGGCUCAACUUCGGAAUUGCCUCUGAUACUGUUCGGCUAGAGUGUAGUAGCGGUAGGCGGAAUGUAUGGUGUAGCGGUGAAAUGCUUAGAGAUCAGACAGAACACCGAUGGCGAAGGCAGCUUACCAAGCUACUUCUGACGUUGAGGCACGAAAGCGUGGGGAGCAAACAGGAUUAGAUACCCCAGUAGUC